rnacentral:tRNA from 1 species
GCGCUUAUAGUAUAGAGGUAGAAUACUUCUCUUCCAAAGAAGUGGCCUGGGUUCGAUUCCCAGUGUGCGCA